GAGAGUAUAGCUCAGUAGUAGAGUGUGUGCUUAGCAAGCAUGAGGUACUGGGUUCAAUCCCUAGUACCUCCA
rfam:Camelus ferus unplaced genomic scaffold scaffold951, whole genome shotgun sequence.